rnacentral:rRNA from 1 species
UACGUAGGGCGCAAGCGUUAUCCGGAUUCACUGGGUUUAAAGGGUGCGUAGGCGGAUAGGUAAGUCCGUGGUGAAAUCCUGCAGCUUAACUGCAGAACUGCCGUGGAUACUAUCUAUCUUGAAUGUCGUGGAGGUUAGCGGAAUAUGUCAUGUAGCGGUGAAAUGCUUAGAUAUGACAUAGAACACCCAUUGCGAAGGCAGCUAACUACGCGAUAAUUGACGCUGAUGCACGAAAGCGUGGGGAUCAAACAGG